AGCAGCCGCGGUAAUUCCAGCUCCAAUAGCGUAUAUUAAAGUUGUUGCAGUUAAAAAGCUCGUAGUUGAAUUUCGGGGUCAGCAAGUUGGUCGUGCCACUGGUAUGCACUGGCUUUACUGAUUCCUCCUUCUUGAAGAACUGUAAUGCUAUUAAUUUAGUGUUGCAGGGAAACAGGACUGUUACUUUGAAAAGAUUAGAGUGUUUAAAGCAGGCUAACGCUUGAAUACAUUAGCAUGGAAUAAUGAAAUAGGACGUUUGAUCCUAUUUUGUUGGUUUCUAGGAUUGACGUAAUGAUUAAUAGGGAUAGUUGGGGGCAUUAGUAUUCAAUUGUCAGAGGUGAAAUUCUUGGAUUUAUUGAAGACUAACUACUGCGAAAGCAUUUGCCAAGGAUGUUUUCAUUAAUCAAGAACGAAAGUUAGGGGAUCGAAGACGAUCAGAUACCGUCGUAGUCUUAACCAUAAACUAUG
rnacentral:rRNA from 1 species